AAAACGUACUGAGCUCGACUAAACUGUAGACUAUUUUGAAUAAGCUAAUCAAUUUUGCAAAAAUUUUGAUUUUAUUAAUCAAUCUUUCAAUUUAUUUAGUUUAAGCCAGUUUACGGUGCUUUGAUCAUAAAAUUUGAAUGUAUCAUUUAUCUUUACAGAUUUAGUUAGUAUAUUUUAUAUAAUUAACACAAGUAUAAAUUUAUUAAGGUAAUUAAUUAGUUUAAAUUUUGAAGCAGAAAUAUUGCCGACCGAUUCAAAUUAAACACGUUAAAAUGUUUGGAUCGUAAAACUAAAAUUUUGAAGGGUUAGAUUGCAGAUUCAAAAUAAUUCAUUUGUUUAGAUAUGGUCCCUGCAUUUUUAUUUUUUAUUUUUAACUUUUUUUUUUUGCACUAUUUAAAGUGCGUGAAAUCACCUGGGGGUAGGGAUGCAAAUGGAUCCGGGUUGGUGGAGCUCCGCCCCGAUCCGCCCCGAAUGGGGUGGUAAGUGGGAACAAAAAAUAUAAAAAAAUAUAAUCCGUCCCGAAUCCGCCCCGAUCCGCAAAGUAAAUGGAGCGGGAGGUGGGAGACUCUUUUCUUCCUUCAAUCCGUCCCGAUCCGUCAAAAAUCCGGCUCCCGCCCCGAUCCGCCCCGAAUGGAGCGGUAAGUGAGAGUCAAAAAUAAAAUGAAAAGUAACCCGUCCCGAAUCUGCCCCGCCCCGAUAAGAAAUGGAGCGGGAGGUGGGGGAACUCUCCCGCCCCGAAUCCGCCCCGUUUGCAUCCCUACCU
rnacentral:lncRNA from 1 species